GGGAAGGUGGCUCAGUGGUAGAGCACUUGCCUUGCAUGCAUGAGGCCCUGGGUUUGAUUCCUCCACCACA
rnacentral:tRNA from 1 species